GCCGAGGUGGCGGAGCACGGUUCAACGCGCGGGCCUUGAGAGCCCGUGUCCACUUGUGGACACUUGAGUUCAAAUCUCAACCUCGGC
rnacentral:tRNA from 1 species